GGCUACAACACAGUUGAAUGGGUUCGUUACAUCACCAAAGCUGGUUCUUAUGAGAUUAGGUGCUAAGAUGAAACAACUUACGUGAGUUUGAUGUUGUCGUUGAACAAUAGCCCUAUUUGAGGGAUGCAAUCACACCAGCACUUAUACAUCGGAUCUAGUCAUGACUUUAAAUGUGCUUGGACGAGUAUAGUACUAGGAUGGACGACCCCCCUAUAGAUUUCUCAUGUUUCGUCUUGUGUUGACACCACCUGGUUUCGAAUUGAGGAAGAGCUUGAUUGUCUUUUUUGUUUUCCUUUUUAAAAUCCUUUGUUGUUGUGCUGAGUUCUUUGUGAGGACUAAGAAAAGGCAUUCUGCUAAUGCUAGUUUGUUUCAUAUAUUUUACCAAAAAAAUUAUUGUAUCUUGUCUGGUUCCUGGAAAUGAAUUAGAUUUUUUUCACAAA
rnacentral:misc_RNA from 1 species